AAAAUGCACAUGCUGUGAGCUCGAUGAGUAGGGCGGGACACGUGGUAUCCUGUCUGAAUAUGGGGGGACCAUCCUCCAAGGCUAAAUACUCCUGACUGACCGAUAGUGAACCAGUACCGUGAGGGAAAGGCGAAAAGAACCCCGGCGAGGGGAGUGAAAAAGAACCUGAAACCGUGUACGUACAAGCAGUGGGAGCACAGAGCAAUCUGUGUGACUGCGUACCUUUUGUAUAAUGGGUCAGCGACUUAUAUUCUGUAGCAAGGUUAACCGAAUAGGGGAGCCGAAGGGAAACCGAGUCUUAACUGGGCGUUAAGUUGCAGGGUAUAGACCCGAAACCCGGUGAUCUAGCCAUGGGCAGGUUGAAGGUUGGGUAACACUAACUGGAGGACCGAACCGACUAAUGUUGAAAAAUUAGCGGAUGACUUGUGGCUGGGGGUGAAAGGCCAAUCAAACCGGGAGAUAGCUGGUUCUCCCCGAAAGCUAUUUAGGUAGCGCCUCGUGAAUUCAUCUCCGGGGGUAGAGCACUGUUUCGGCAAGGGGGUCAUCCCGACUUACCAACCCGAUGCAAACUGCGAAUACCGGAGAAUGUUAUCACGGGAGACACACGGCGGGUGCUAACGUCCGUCGUGAAGAGGGAAACAACCCAGACCGCCAGCUAAGGUCCCAAAGUCAUGGUUAAGUGGGAAACGAUGUGGGAAGGCCCAGACAGCCAGGAUGUUGGCUUAGAAGCAGCCAUCAUUUAAAGAAAGCGUAAUAGCUCACUGGUCGAGUCGGCCUGCGCGGAAGAUGUAACGGGGCUAAACCAUGCACCGAAGCUGCGGCAGCGACACUGUGUGUUGUUGGGUAGGGGAGCGUUCUGUAAGCCUGUGAAGGUGUACUGUGAGG
rnacentral:rRNA from 1 species